GGAGACGGUUAUCGACCCCGAGUUCCUCAUUCGAUUCAAGGAUGGAUGAUGAAGGGAUUGCUGCCGUUGGAUCAGGAACUUCGACUCGGUGUUUCUCCGUACAUUGGUAGGGGGAGGAGUACCAUCGGUAAAUGUAGUGGAUGCUAUUGCUGCUAAUUACAAUAUACGCCAAGGUCAAAUUGUGAUUUUCAUCCCUCUAUUAUGAUCUUGUUUGAGAUUUAAUCUCAAUAAAAUAUUUCAUCUUUCUAUUUUUUAUGAUGUUAUUAAGUAAUACAAAUAGCUAAGAAACACCAUUUUCAACUAGAUUUUUUUUUCCAAAAAGAGUGCUUUCUUUUAGAAAUUUAACACCUAUAAUUGUAAUAAUUUUUUUUCUAAUUAGUCGAUAUAAAAACGACAAAGAUAGAAAGACGUUAGAAAAUACCAACCUCUUUCAAAGACAAAAACAUUACAAAAACUCCUAGAGUAAUAUUUCGCUUUGAAAUAUACUCAACUUGAGACGAUCAACAUCAACUCAAACCAAAACUAAUAUGCAGCCCACAAUAAUCACCUCCCGACUUUCAAAAAACAAAGGACUCCUUAUACCUGCUAUUGCCAGAGCAUCAGCCAUACUAUUUCAUUGCCAUUAAACAACUACAAAAUAAACUCAACACAGCUAGAUUACAUACUAACGGGGCUUUCACAUGCUAACCAUACCACUAAUCAACGCCGAUGCAAUCAGUACAGAUAACAGAGCACAAGCCACUUCUUAUGUCUCUCAAUGGCAUAAUGUCAAAUUUAGCCUUUAAUGUUUAUGUCUUUUGUCAAUUUGGUCAUAAUUCUUCUUCUGUUCUUCUUUUCUUUAAGCAAAUUUAGUCUUCAACCUUUUAGAAAUAGUGAAAUUUAAUCACCAAUCUUUUAAAAAAGAGUCAAAUUAACUUUUUUAUCUAAAAUAUUGACUAAAAUGUUAAGUUAUUAAAUUUUAUGCUAUUUUUAUGCAAUUUUUAUAUUUUGUUUCAAUUUUUAUUUUAUUUUUUUCAUAAAUUUUAAAUUAUUUAUUGACAUAACAUAUAAGACAAAUAGAGCCAUAAUAACUUGAAGUGUAUGUCGACUCUUACGCAAGUUACCACGCCAAUAUCACUAAAAAAGUUAAAGUUUUAAUCAGAAUUUCCAUUAAAAAGAACAAUUUGACUCUUUUUAAAAGGUAAGAACCAAAUUUAGUUAAAAAAAGAAGAAGAUCAAAUUAAUAAAAAUAUAAACGUUAAGCGUUAAAUUUAUUAUCAUGCCAAUUUAUAUGCAUAAUCUAAUUACUUCGUACGUUGUUAUCCGUAACCUACUCAAUUUAUCAGUAGUUCAAUGUAGCGGGAGCCAUGAUUUUCUAAAAUUAUUAGAACUUAAUCAGAUUCUUCAAAAUUUGUGAAAAUUUUAAACAGAACUUAUUAAACAAAUUCGAAUCAAACUAAACUUAAGUAAAUAUUAUGAUACUGCAAUAUAUAAUCCCGACCCAAUUCUUAAACGCUAAUAUUUUUAGAAUCGAAUCGAUAAUCAAAUUAGUCAAGUCAUUCAUCAAUCUUACCGAUUUGAUAAAAAAUAAAAAAAAUCAUAAAAAAAGGAUAUUUAAAAACCUGAUUUAGCCGAUUCGCAAUUCAACCAAUUCUUUAUCCUUCUUCAAACUGAUAUCUCGAUCCGACCUGUCCAUUCCGAAUCAAACAACCUUAAUUAAUUGGGGCAUAUUCUUUCCUUUUCUCUCUCAUAUAAUUUGUGACUUAUUUAAUGCUCCAUGGGAAGAUAGAUAGAAGUUCCUAUCUUGGUAUUUAUUGGGGUUUUUUCUUUUGUUUUUCAGUUCAAUGUUUUAAUUUU
rnacentral:lncRNA from 1 species